rnacentral:rRNA from 1 species
GACGAACGCUGGCGGCGUGCUUAACACAUGCAAGUCGAACGGUAAGGCCCUUCGGGGUACACGAGUGGCGAACGGGUGAGUAACACGUGGGUGAUCUGCCCUGCACUUCGGGAUAAGCCUGGGAAACUGGGUCUAAUACCGGAUAGGACUCCGGACUGCAUGGUCUGGGGUGGAAAGCUUUUGCGGUGUGGGAUGGGCCCGCGGCCUACCAGCUUGCUGGUGGGGUGAUGGCCUACCAAGGCGACGUCGGGUAGCCGGCCUGAGAGGGUGACCGGCCACACUGGGACUGAGAGACGGCCCAGACUCCUACGGGAGGCAGCAGUGGUGAAUAUUGCACAAUGGGCGCAAGCCUGAUGCAGCGACGCCGCGUGAGGGAUGACGGCCUUCGGGUUGUAAACCUCUUUCAGCAUCGACGAAGCGAAAGUGACGGUAGGUGCAGAAGAAGGACCGGCCAACUACGUGCCAGCCGCCGCCGUAA